GAUGGCGGCGGGCGAUUGAGCGCCAAAUUCCCUCUCAGCGCCUGCGCGGAGGAUCCGCCGGCGCGUGGCGCCGCCGCGGCUUUGAAACUUUUAUCCCUUAUUACCACUUCUACCCACCGCGGCGUGGAAUGAACGAUCAUGCCGUUGGCCGUGCGAGGUCAGAGAGCUGUGGCACUGCUACACUUCCUCUGCUUCCUCUGGGCAAUCUUCGCUCUGACUCAAAAUUUGGGGUUGCCUAAGUCGGUCCGGAAAGUGCACGACGAUAGUUAUGGCGGCCAAUGGAAAUACCUGACCUUCCUCAACCAGCUUCUACAGACAGUGCUGUACUUAUUAUGUGUCACAAUUGAUGCUGUAGCCCUGUUUGUUCCUUCCCAAGAAAGGAAAGUAUCAUCUAUAGUGCUGCCUAUUAGAGAUUUCAUCUUCUCUGCAUUUGUAUUCCCUGUUGGCUUAUUUGUAGCUGUUGCUUUCUGGGGCCUUUAUGCAAUUGACAGAGAACUAGUGUACCCUAAAGAACUGGAUGAGAUUAAUCCAGAUUGGCUUAAUCACACUAUGCAUACUACUAUCCUGCCACUGCUUUUCAUAGAGCUGGUUAUAUGUUCACAUAAGUAUCCUCCUAGAUGGAAAGGAAUAUUGGGACUUGGCAUCUUUGCAGUUGUAUACCUAUCAUGGAUAAUUUGGAUACAUCAUGUAGCUGGGAUUUGGGCUUAUCCAGUUUUAGGAGUGCUUGGCCUACUUGGAAAGGCAAUGUUUCUUUCAGUUGCUGUGUGCAUAAUGUUCAUCUUCUACUUCGUUGGGGAGCACCUAACAAAAUGGUUGUGGGAUUUCACUUUCCUGGCUCUUUCAAAAUCACCCUAAAUUCAGUGUGCACUAGGACCUUGGAGAAGACCACAUCCUUCCCUAACUGUUAAUGUUGCAACGUGUGGCUAUCACGGAAAAAGUCCCCUUGUCUGAAGGUCUUUCUUUGGAGAGACCCCUUAGCAUCCUCAGUGAAUGUACUUAGAGGCCAGACUUCCUUUUCUGCAAAGCGUAGAAAGAAGUGCAUGUAGAGAAGACCCCAAGGAAGACAUCAGCUCAUUAAAAGGGCAAGCUCACCUAUGGAAUACAGUGCAACUUGAACAUGGAAAAUAUUAUAGUUUGUAACUGGUUCUUAAUGUUUACAGGAAAAAUAAGAUCUUUUGGAGCAGAAGUGAAGAAUCUUGAGUCUUCCAGAUGUUGUUGAUAUACUGUUGUAUAUCCCAGCAAUGCCAGUUGCCAUACCAUAACAGUUUCAAGAAAUGGGGAUUUGUUUAAUCAACAACAGUUUGCAAGAUCACAAGUUCCCUAUUCAUACAGUAAAAAGCUAUCCAAGUAGAAAAAGAAAAAUGGCAGAAAAGAGGGAUGUGGUAGCAAGACUAUCCCUGAAUACAGAUAAUGGGUUGUGUGCCUAUGAGAAUAAUCAGAGAAGUGAUUCUACAAAUAAGAUUAUUUCAUUAAUAGUGUCAGCAAACGAAGCACUUUAUAUCUCAAGUUUCUGUUUUAUUUUUUAAUAGGCUAAAAAUGAAAAAUUGCAUAAAACAUGUCUUUGGGGAGAACAGUUGUCUCCCCAGCCAACCCAAGAGUCACACAGUAGUAAAUAGAAUCUUUUACCCAAUUUCUCUAUAAAUAUCUGUCCAAAAAGAGCGCUUGCUCUUGGCAUCGUAAUCAUCAGGUUUAAGCAAUAAAAUAAAAGAGGCUUUUGGUUAGCUGCUUUAUCCUUCCCUGCCCUGGAAGUUCAAAAAUGCUGUUUUUUGAAACAGCAGUGCAUGAA